UGCACUCACAAGUGUAAGUCGCUCUGGAUAAGAGUGUCUGCUAAAUGACUAAAA
rfam:Salmo salar isolate Sally breed double haploid chromosome ssa17, whole genome shotgun sequence.